GAUGAACGCUGGCGGCGUGCCUAAUACAUGCAAGUCGAGCGAGCAGACGAGGAGCUUGCUCCUCUGACGUUAGCGGCGGACGGGUGAGUAACACGUGGAUAACCUACCUAUAAGACUGGGAUAACUUCGGGAAACCGGAGCUAAUACCGGAUAAUAUAUUGAACCGCAUGGUUCAAUAGUGAAAGACGGUUUUGCUGUCACUUAUAGAUGGAUCCGCGCCGCAUUAGCUAGUUGGUAAGGUAACGGCUUACCAAGGCAACGAUGCGUAGCCGACCUGAGAGGGUGAUCGGCCGCACUGGAACUGAGACACGGUCCAGACUCCUACGGGAGGCAGCAGUAGGGAAUCUUCCGCAAUGGGCGAAAGCCUGACGGAGCAACGCCGCGUGAGUGAUGAAGGUCUUCGGAUCGUAAAACUCUGUUAUUAGGGAAGAACAAAUGUGUAAGUAACUAUGCACGUCUUGACGGUACCUAAUCAGAAAGCCACGGCUAACUACGUG
rnacentral:rRNA from 1 species